GGCAGUGGUGGCUCAGUGGUUAAGACAUUGGCCUAGUGAUUGGAAAAAAUUUGAGUUCGAACCCCAGCACUGCCA